rnacentral:rRNA from 1 species
AUGCUCAGGAAGGCGAGACGGCGGCGGCUCCCUGAAGAUGGAAUAAAGGUCUCCCCGCCUAGCCCCCGUUCCGGCGGUGCAUCUAGCAUCGUUGGUGGGCGUGUGGAGGUGUGUCUCCGGCUGAUCUAUCUUUGGUGGAUUUGCUCGGAUCUCGUCGUUGUUCGUCUACGUUCGUGUGUCUUCGGGUUGAAUCCUUCCAACCUACGUUAUUCUUCUUCGGCGGCGGUUGCUGUUCUGGUGCGCUGGUCCUAUGGGGCCUUAGCACGACGACUUCCCGACUGUCUACUACAACAAGUUGUGCCCGACUCCGGCGAUGGAGGGGUGAUGACGGCGGCGCGCCUUCGGCUCGCUUCAAUGCUUGUAGUCGUCGCUAGGUGGUCUACAGAUCUGGAUGUAAUUUUUACUUCUGGUGUUCGUUGUACUGCCAUGAUUGAAGAUGAAUAG